CUUUCUUCACAGUCCAACUCUCACAUCCAUACAUGACCACUGGAAAAACCAUAGCCUUGACUAGAUGGACCUUUGUUGGCAAAGUAAUAUCUCUGCUUUCUAGGUUGCUGUGAUACCCAUAGGUUUCUAGAUACCUAUGCUGUCUAGGUUGGUCAUAACUUUCCUUCCAAGGUGCCGGGAGCCAGCGUGGAGGAUCCCACCCAUGGCAAAGGUCAUGAGGAAGAGGCCUGAUGGGCAAAGGCGAGAUCAGGCCUCAAGGGGCCCCCCUUCUCGAGCAUCUACCCCAAAACCAGAAUCUGUUUUUUCAUGACUUUCACCAACUCCUCUGACAUUAACAGGGAGCUAUCCCUGACCACCUUUCUCUGGAGAAAAUCAACUUUGGGCUCUAGCUAAUAAAUCUCCUGGGCAUGAAAAGAGUGUUUCAAUUCAAACCCCCUGUUAGCAUUCUAGCUUACUUGGCAGGUUUAUCCAGACUCUUGCAGCAUUGUUGAGCCAAUGCUUGCUGCCAAGUUCUCACAUCCCUUAUCCAUUGUGUUCCUGGGAGUGCAUAUAGUCAGGAUGUAGAAAAAACAAGCAGCAGCUUUAGCAUUAGCAACAUUAGACUUUGAGUUAAUAAGUUCUUUCUUUGCUGUAACCCCCUGAAUCUUUGCUCCAUAAAAAUGUAACUCUGUACUUUAAGGGUGAUGCAGGCUAGAAAUUUAAGAAGAAACACUUCAAGGGAAAAUUAUUGUUCUGGCUGACCAACCUUUAUCAAAAAGAGGUCAUAAAAUAUCAACAGGUCUCCGGGCCAGAAGAUAAUGUACAAAAAUUAAGACUCUUGCAGGAAAGAACCUGAUAUUGAUAAAAGUUAAUACUGAUGGAAUGUUGAGUUGACUGCAUUUUUCACUUUGCUCAAUGUACAACUCAGGGUAUAAAAGCCCUCUCUGAAAAUAAAGUGAGGGGCCUUGCUCUUUGAAGCUUGGUCACCCUGUGUCAUUCUUUCCUUAUCUCUUUCUCUGUCUUUCUACAUUCACUGACGUCGUCCAUCCUGAGGAUAUCCCUGGACUCUGCUGAGGCUGGACCUUGGUACCAAAGAUGCUCUGGCACCAAACCCUAUCUCCAGUGUAUGCCUGUAGUUAUAGCUGCUUUGAAUGAUCUGUCUGCUAAAUAUAAAAUCUGGGCCAGCUCACAAUGAAGAAGAAGCAAAUGAGGCUCAGGAAGGCACUGCUCCAAGGUCAUCUCCUCUUUACACUUUCAGAAGCUCCUCAUCCUACAGGCACUUCCCAGAUCCUGUGGCCCACUGUCGAUACAUUCAGCACUGAGGCCUGCUGGAACAGAGGAAGAAAUGGAUAUUUUAAAGUCUUUCUGAGAACACAAAAUAAUUGUUAUCUACACCUUCCUGAGAAGUAUUAAGAAACACUGAGUAGCCAGAUCAAGGAAACUUGAAGCAGCAGUGAUUUGAGAUGAGAUAAGCUUCAAGGAGGAGAAGUUCUGUAACUUCUAUUUGCUUCUUUCAUAUACUUGUGCUUUUGUAUUUUGGUGCUGGAAAAGACCCUUGAGAGUCCAUUGGACAGAACGAUCAAACCAGUCAAUCCUAAAGGAAAUCAACCCUG
ensembl:lncRNA